rnacentral:rRNA from 1 species
GGGUUGUCGCUGGCCUCUCGGGGCAUGUGCACGCCCGAGCCCUUGAAUCCCAAACACACAUGUGAACCCACCGUAGGCNUUCGGGCCUAUGUCUUAUCAUAUAAUCCUGAAUGUCUAAUAGAAUGUAAACCCAUUUCGUUGCCUUGAAAACGUAACGAAAGAAAACUAUACAACUUUCAACAACGGAUCUCUGGCUCUNNGAAAUGCGAUAAGUAAUGUGAAUUGCAGGAUUUUCAGUGAAUCAUCGAAUCUUUGAACGCACCUUGCGCCCCUUGGUAUUCCGAGGGGCAUGCCUGUUUGAGUGUCAUUAAAUCCUCAACCCCUCCGAUUCGUUUCGGUGGGGAUUGGACUUGGAGCGUGCUGGCGAAGGUCGGCUCCUCUUUAAAUGCAUCAGCGGAGAAAAUGCCUUUUGCGCCUCUGGCCGUUCAGCGUGAUAAUGAUGUUGCGCUGCGGUCGAGCUUAAGGUCCGCUUCCAAAGGUCCUCUCGGACGAUAUAUACAUAUGACUUUUGACCUCAAAUCAGGUAGGACUACCCGCUGAACUUAAGCAUAUCAAUAAGCGGAGGAAAAGAAACUAACAAGGAUUCCCCUAGUAACUGCGAGUGAAGCGGGAAAAGCUCAAAUUUAAAAUCUGGCGGUCUCCGGCCGUCCGAGUUGUAAUCUGGAGAAGCGUUUUCCGCGUCGGACCGUGUACAAGUCUUCUGGAACGGAGCGUCGUAGAGGGUGAGAAUCCCGUCUCUGACACGGACUGCCGAUGCUUUUGUGAUACGCUCUCGAAGAGUCGAGUUGUUUGGGAAUGCAGCUCAAAAUGGGUGGUAAAUUCCAUCUAAAGCUAAAUAUUGGCGAGAGACCGAUAGCGAACAAGUACCGUGAGGGAAAGAUGAAAAGCACUUUGGAAAGAGAGUUAAACAGUA